rnacentral:rRNA from 1 species
AUUGAACGCUGGCGGAAUGCCUUACACAUGCAAGUCGAACGGUAGAGGGGGCAACCCCUCGAGAGUGGCGAACGGGUGAGUAAUAUAUCGGAACGUGCCCAGUCGUGGGGGAUAACGUAGCGAAAGUUACGCUAAUACCGCAUACGAUCUACGGAUGAAAGCGGGGGAUCGCAAGACCUCGCGCGAUUGGAGCGGCCGAUAUCAGAUUAGGUAGUUGGUGGGGUAAAGGCUUACCAAGCCAACGAUCUGUAGCUGGUCUGAGAGGACGACCAGCCACACUGGAACUGAGACACGGUCCAGACUCCUACGGGAGGCAGCAGUGGGGAAUUUUGGACAAUGGACGCAAGUCUGAUCCAGCCAUUCCGCGUGCAGGAUGAAGGCCCUCGGGUUGUAAACUGCUUUUGUACGGAACGAAAAGGUUUCCAUUAAUACUGGGAGCUCAUGACGGUACCGUAAGAAUAAGCACCGGCUAACUACGUGCCAGCAGCCGCCGUAA